CACAUAAUUGUCACAUGUAUUUGACAGGUGGCUGCUUUAUGUGAUUUUGUUAUUUUAAGCUUGCUAAAUUCAGAGAUGGCAAGUGCUCUGAAGCACCUGAAUUCUGAACUAUUUUUUAAAAUGCACCAUUAAAAUGCAGAUUCAGUAUAUAUUUCUUUUAAAGUCUGCUUGGAGAAAAUAUAAAAUUGGCCACAUUUCUGGUACUCAUGAAUAUUUGCUUCAGAACUCUUCCACAUUAAUUUGCUUCUGAUUGUGUGUGUGUGUAUGUGUGCAUGCGCGCAUGCACGUGCACUCGUUCUCGUCAUGCUCACUUUAAAAAGUGCUGCUUCUUAACUGGAAACAAUUACUUUUCUUCCCCUGAAUGAAAAAUCUGGCCUGCCUUUUUUAAUUUUGGAAAAGUGUUCUUUUUCUUAAAACCUGAUGUACAUACAAAUAAGACAAAACUUGAUCUGUAUUUGAACAAACACCACUGUAAGAAAUCAGUCAGCUAUCAUUCUAAGACUUACCAACCACUUUUGAAGCUUAAAUGUCAGUAUUUUGUUAUUUAUUCUUUAGUGAAGAGUUUGUUCUCAAGACACACUGAGGUUGCAGCAAUUGGAUUGCUUAACUUCUUGCCUGCACUGGCCGAAUUUCUGUUUCCUUUUCUUUUCUGAUGUUUCUUCAUUGUAUUCUAUUACAAAUCCUACCUUUCUAGGAGUAAAUUCUCUUACUUUGUCCAACCAGGAGUCUGCUGGGCCAUUGCCACCGAAGAAACCACGUGGAAGGCCAAAAGGAAGCAAGAAGUUGAAUACUGGUAGUGGACAGAUGGUGCACACCAUGGCUGAAAAAAAGCCCAGGGGAAGACCACGGAAAUGGCUUAUUGUCCAGGAGGAUGCAUAUCAAAAAGCUGGUACUGAAGGGAGAAUCAACCCAAGUUCUGCUACUGCAUGCCCUACCACUGAAGGCAGACAGUGACAUCAGCACCGCCACAGACUCCUUUGUGAUGGCCUCGCUUCCUGCCCAGAGCUCUGUCAAAUCUGUAUCUUCUGUAGAGACUUCAUGCCACUUGAAACAACAGCUACCGCCUGUUGCGCUUCCGCCUUCUGCUCAAAUAACCACACUUAUACCUGCCUGCCUGCCCUCCUACAGCAUCCUAUCCUGUGCCACCCAAUAAGAAAGGUGAAAGAUUAAAGCAGUGAUGUGAGUACAAGAAUAGGUCUGUGAGAAAUGUGACAUUUUAAUACGGUUUGCUUAGAAUUCAGGGAGAAAUGAUUGGUUGGUAGCUCCUCCUUUCUCUGUGAGAAGGCAGAGAUUUAAAACAACGGAGAUGCUUGAUGAUCACUGCACUCCACAGUGCAUAAAGCUAGGAGAAUUUGGUGACACAAUGCAACUGCUGCAGCACAGGCUGCUUAUCAGCCAGGAAGUCAAGGCCAGCUUCAAGGACUGCAGCAUAGCAAAAGGCCAUCUAGCUGGUGCCCUCUGACAUCCAUCUGGUUUGUCUCUCCUAUACAGGUUUACUGUUUCUUUAGAAGUCUGGCAAGCAGGCAGCAGUAGAGGUGCGGUGGCCUGGAUUGAGGUUUUGGGAGCUGUCCAGCAUUUUUAUCUUCCUGCAGUACUUUAAUGCACAUGUUUUUUUUGGGGGGGUAGCUUUUUAUUAAAAUACCCACUAGGCUGUUUUUAUGGGCCCUGGCCCAUUCCUGGAGUAUGGCCAUUCCUUGGCCAAGCAAAAGAAGUGAACAAUUGCUCCCAGAUGACUCCAGGGGUGGUAGUUUGCAUUUUUAAUCCAUCACAAGUCCCCCCCAUCCCACUACUAGACCAUUAAACACUUCAAAAUACCCAUUCUUCACAAGCAAAACU
ensembl:lncRNA high mobility group protein HMGI-C-like